GAUCUCUGGGGACACAGCCUUCGACAGGGACAUCUUAGGCUCUGUCAGUGAGCAGAUCCGGAAGAACUUUGCUCGGACACACUGGAAGCGAGCCUUCAAUGCCACCUCGUUCCUGCGCCACAUCCGGAAGCUGGGGCAGAUCCCAGAGGGCGAGGGGGCCUCUGAGCAGGGCAUGGCCCGCCACAGCCACUCAGGCGGGCCUCAGGGGCUGUCUUUCCUGCACGGCUGUUGUGUGCUUCGCUGAGUGUGGGUGGUCCUGCUUGUGUCAUGGUCAUGGCCUUCCAGCCCCCUCCAGUUUUCCCCAAACCAAUAAAGAAAGAUACAGC
rnacentral:lncRNA from 1 species